GACGAGCCGUGCGAACGUUAUUCGGAAUCACUGGGCUUAAAGCGCGUGUAGGCGGGAGGGCACGUCCGUCGCUGAAAUCCCCCGGCUCAACCGGGGAACGGGCGCGGAUACGACCUUCCUGGAGGGGCGUAGGGGGACCUGGAACUUCCGGUGGAGCGGUGAAAUGCGUAGAUAUACGGAGGAACACCAGCGGCGAAGGCGGGUAGCUGGGCCAACACUGACGCUGAUGUGCGAAAGCUAGGGGAGCAAACGGG
rnacentral:rRNA from 1 species